CACACGUCUCCGAGCGCCGAGGUGGAAAGCCAGUGCGUUCAAGCCGAGGGCAAGGCCUGGGUGAGUAGCACGUGUAUUUCAGCAGCUAGUAGCAUUGUCAUUUGGCCACGGGCUCUGUGCUGGGCAGGACGGCUCUUCCCUCACCCUCAGAGACUUCCCCACGUCCCUGCCCACCCUAGUUCCGGGUCUGGGUCGGCAGCAGAUUCAUGCCCGUGCCACAGGGACCAGAUCGGGGUGGGUGGAUGACCGGUCCAAUGACCCAGGCCGAUGCGACCCCAGCCAUGGCUUGGAGGUGCCCAGCUGGGGACUCAGACUGACUCCCGUUGGACCCACUCUGGGGGGGAUUUAGGGCUGGAGCUGCCACAGCCAUCAUGUCCCCUGGGGAGCUGGCAUGUCAGGUGGAUGGAAGCCAGUUCCGGCGACACCAGAUGACUCCUGACCCCCUGCCAGGCCUGCACCCAGCUCUGUCCCUGCAGCUUUUGGUCACAUGGGCUUCCAAGUUCUCUUUUAGCUUAAGUCAACUUAAGGCAAAGUUUUUUCACGUUUUGGAAAAAUGUGGGUUUUGGAGUUCCCUGGUGGGGUUUUGGAGUUCCCUGGUGGCUCAGUGGGUUAAGGAUGCAGCAUUGUCACUGCUGUUGGGCGAGGUCAGUCCCUGGCCCGGGAACUUCCACAUGCAGCAGGGAAGGCCAAAAAAAGGCGGGGAGCUCACUACAAGGAAACAGCAGGAGCCCACCUUGAACCCACGGUACCUGAUGUCUACUUCAUGCACUCCAGACACUCCAGAAGGCUCCAAAAGAGAGGUCGAGAUACUCCCCAUGGGAGACCCACAAACAAAAGGCAGGCGUCAGGGAGGGAUCCUGGAAGCAGUGGCAAUUGCAUUAGCCACUGGCUUUUAGGGAAUGCUUAUUAGAUGCCAGUCCCUGUGCUCAGGACCUUGCACAGGACCUGAGCCUGGGAGUGAGCAAGCUGUGGGCAUGGAGAAAUGGGGGCAGGGUGGUGAUCAUGUUUAAAGAUUGCAAAAGAGUGUCCGUGUGCCUCGAAGCCCUGGGGAGGCAGCAGUGACUCAAAGCUGGAACCGGGCCCGCUUCGGCGGCAGCGGCAGCCAGAUUCGGAGCACAGACAGGACACUUUGGUGCACCCAGGAUUUCAUGGCUUCCCUGUGUUUAUCCAGAAUUCCACCCCAGCAAGAUUUGCCAAGUUCCACCUGGGUUCGAGGACCCGCACAUCUCUCCACCCUGCUUCCACCCAGUUCCAGCUCCGGAGGACAUAGGCUAAUGGUCGAGCAAGAUAACCACCCUGGGAACCGAGGGAGGGGCCCGUUGGACGAGUGAGUGUAAGAGCUGCCUUAUUGCAACACCGCAGCCAGCCACCCUGCCCCUUUCAAAGGCAUAUUUUCUGGGACACUUGGCAGGACCUUCUGUGUGCCUUGGAACUUCAAAAAAUGAGGUGAGAGAGUUCCCAUUAUGGCUCAACAGGUGAAGAAUCCGAGGUUGUUUCUGUGAGGAUGUGGGUUCAAUCCCUGGCCUUGUUCAGUGGGUUAAGGAUCCAGCAUCGCCGCAAGCUGUGGUGGAGGUGGCAGACGCGGCUCAGACCCAGUGUUGCCAUGGCUGUGGCGUAGGCCUCAGCUGCAGCUCCAACUUGACCCCUAGCCUGGGAACUUCCAUAUGCUGCAGGUGCGGCCC
rnacentral:lncRNA from 1 species